UACGAAGGGGGCUAGCGUUGCUCGGAAUUACUGGGCGUAAAGGGCGCGUAGGCGGACAGUUUAGUCAGAGGUGAAAGCCCAGGGCUCAACCCUGGAAUUGCCUUUGAUACUGGCUGUCUUGAGUACGGGAGAGGUGUGUGGAACUCCGAGUGUAGAGGUGAAAUUCGUAGAUAUUCGGAAGAACACCAGUGGCGAAGGCGACACACUGGCCCGUUACUGACGCUGAGGCGCGAAAGCGUGGGGAGCAAACAGG
rnacentral:rRNA from 1 species